rnacentral:rRNA from 1 species
UACGUAGGGGGCAAGCGUUGUCCGGAAUUAUUGGGCGUAAAGGGCUCGUAGGCGGUUUGUCGCGUCGGGAGUGAAAACACACAGCUUAACUGUGUGCUUGCUUCCGAUACGGGCAGACUAGAGGUAUGCAGGGGAGAACGGAAUUCCUGGUGUAGCGGUGAAAUGCGCAGAUAUCAGGAGGAACACCGGUGGCGAAGGCGGUUCUCUGGGCAUUACCUGACGCUGAGGAGCGAAAGUGUGGGGAGCGAACAGG